CGUGUGCAUUGUUUUUCUUUCGAAUAACUUCCUGGUUUGAAACAAAAUUGUCACACCGGUUUAUGCGACUUUAAAAAUAGAACAAACAGAUGUGAUAUAGCAUUAUAACAGUAUGCAACAGUAUGUUCUCGAACUUCAAUUUUGAACAGAUCCCAUUGAUGGCCUAUUUGAUCAACCGCAUAUGGCCUUGACAUUACUCAGACACUGACCCAGAUUCUGAUUAGCAAAUUGAAGUGGUAUGUCUGAACACCAGAUGUUAUUAAAAGAAAAGUUAAACAAUUUCAGUGAUGGUUUUGUGAUAUACCAUAUUCCAAAUAUUAGCCAGAAUAGAAAUGUAUCAUUAUUGGAUUUACCUGUGAAUGUUAAAAAAACGUGGAUGGCUAUACAUUUAGUGUCAUGUUCUAAAAAUAGAUUUGGAUUUUCCUUUUCUAUACAUUGAAAACAAGUGUGAAGAAUAUUACCACUCUGGAUUAUAAUUUAAACGUGGCAUAAAUGACUGAUGGAUUUUUUUUCACAUGGAGAAAAAAAUGUUGGAUAUAGAUAUGUGUAUUUCUUGCAAUUUCAAUAUCAAUGAUGUGGUUUUUACCAAAGAUACAUUCAAAUUCUAAUGUUCUAUUUAUAGCGUACCAUACUAACAGGUGAUUGUUUGAAACAUAAACAUUUUUUAUGAUAAACAUAUAUUUGACAUUCAAAUAGUCAUAAUCUUUUGAAAGUAUGCAAUCUUGCAUUGCAU